rnacentral:rRNA from 1 species
GCCAUGCGAGUCGAGAGGGUUCGGCCCUCGGCGAACUGCUCAGUAACACGUGGAUAAUCUGCCCUUAGGUGGAGGAUAACCUCGGGAAACUGAGAAUAAUACUCCAUAGACCUUUGAGGCUGGAAUGCGCUAAGAUUGAAAGCUUCGGCGCCUAAGGAUGAGUCUGCGGACUAUCAGGUUGUAGUCAGGGUAAAGACCUGACUAGCCUACGACGGAUACGGGUUGUGAGAGCAAUAACCCGGAGAUGAUAUCUGAGACACGAUAUCAGGCCCUACGGGGCGCAGCAGGCGCGAAAACUCCACAAUGCGCGAAAGCGCGAUGAGGGGAUCCCAAGUGCUUGCACGUAAGUGUAAGCUGUUUUUCUGUUUAAAAAGCAGAGAGAGUAAGAGCUGGGUAAGACGGGUGCCAGCCGCCGCGGUAAUACCUGCAGCUCAAGUGGUGGCCGCUAUUAUUGGGCCUAAAACGUCCGUAGCCGGCUAAGUAAAUGCCUGGGUAAAUCGUGCCGCUUAACGGUACGAAUUCCGGGUAGACUGCUUAGCUUGGGACCGGAAGAAGUUAGAGGUACUCCUGGGGUAGGGGUGAAAUCCUGUAAUCCUGGGGGGACCACCAGUGGCGAAGGCGUCUAACUAGGACGGGUCUGACGGUGAGGGACGAAGCCCUGGGGCGCAAACCGGAUUAGAUACCCGGGUAGUCCAGGGUGUAAACGCUGCUUGCUUGAUGUUAG